rnacentral:tRNA from 1 species
GCCUGGGUGGCUCAGUUGGUUAAGCAUCUGACUUCGGCUCAGGUCAUGGUCUCAUGGUUUGUGGGUUUGAGACCCACUCCAGGCU